AUAUAAUGAUGAGUUUAGCCAUGCUAAUACCGAGAAAUCAUAUAUAUGGUGGUCAUAUAUCUGGAUUUCAAUGAGUUAAAUUUGAUGUACUGAAUUCC
rfam:Harpegnathos saltator strain R22 G/1 HarSal_1.0_2.contig3384, whole genome shotgun sequence.